CUCGUCUUCCUGGAAUUAAACCACCGUGAAUUAAACCAAAGGCAAUGUGAGUGCUGACGUGGUGGGGGAAACUUAUCGUGAGCAGGCUGCAAGACAUCCCUGUGUGAAGGCUAUAAUUUUCAACACAAAAACUGGACAACUUUGUGCUGAUCCAAAUGCUCAGUGGGUCAAGGAUCUCACUGCCAGAAUGACGAAGGUGCCCAAGUGAAGCACAAAGCUUGCAGUAUUUCUGCCUGUCUGCUACAUCAAUAUAAAAAUAAAGUUUUGCAUUACUG